GACGGAGGAUGCAAGCGUUAUCCGGAAUGAUUGGGCGUAAAGCGUCCGCAGGUGGCAGUUCAAGUCUGCUGUCAAAGACCGGGGCUUAACUUCGGAAAGGCAGUGGAAACUGAACAGCUAGAGUAUGGUAGGGGGCAGAGGGAAUUCCUGGUGUAGCGGGUGAAAUGCGUAGAGAUCAGGAAGAACAUCGGUGGCGAAGGCGCUCUGCUGGACCAUAACUGACACUCAGGGACGAAAGCUAGGGGGAGC
rnacentral:rRNA from 1 species